UUCGUUUCUUGCUGUGUGCCUCUUUCAAGAUGUUAGAGUAUAUUGGAUUUCCCUCACUAUGUAACCCCUUCCUUCCUUUCUUUAUCCUCAGCUACUUUUUCUCCUUCUCUCCAUUUAUGCCCAAGCUUUUCCCUCUGUGGAAGGGACAUUAUUUUUGGCCACCGUGCUCAUCCAGAUUGCAGGCAGUAGAGCUAGUCCAGUAAGCACCUCCCCCUGAGUCCACUGCCAUUCAGAUAAAGUAAGGUUACCCAGGUGUGGAGUUAGUGGGUUAUUUUUAGCACCAGUCAAUAUAGCUGCUUUCACUGUGAACCCCGAUUUUGCCAGAGGGUGUGGAGGCACAACACGCCCCCUCAGGCCCUUAGGAAUUCCAACAAAGUUUAAAAACAGUUACAGUUUAUUGCCUAGGAAUCAUCCCGGCGUCCAGUACUUGGAGUUUCAGCCCUGGUCCUGACCACUGCAUCAGAUGUAGAAAUGGAGGUUCUGAGAAGUUAAGUAACUUGCUCAAGGUCACACAGCUAGCAAGCAGUGGGGCCACAUUCGAGCCCAAACAAGGCUGACUGCAAAUGAACUCAACUAUGCUGCCCCACUGCCUCCUGCUCUGCUUCCCAGGCACAUAGCGGCCACCUCUGUGACUUAGCCUGCCAUACUCCUGGACUGCAGCUGGCCACGACGCGGUCAAGAUCUGUUUGGGGUCUGCCUCCUCUGCUGCCUCGAGCCUCUCCUUGGGACCGGAGCAGCCCCAGCUCUGAACACAGGGCUCUGGAUGUUUGUUUGGGAACCACGUUCAAGUUGCACUCGGCCUGAGGUUAUCUCCAGGCCUUACCCUCUCCAUUCAUUUCUGCCUCGAAUACUCCCUGCAGCCAUGAGCAUUGGGCAGAGCAGGGGAUGUGAGGUUCAGAGAGAUAAGUCACUUGCCCAAGGAUACACAGGGCAGAAUAGGGAGGAAACCCCUGCCCUUCCGACAACCUCAGGUCUGGUCCUCUGGCUCCCCACACCAAGGAGCUCCAGGAGGGAGAUGGGACUUGCCUGGGGCUGUGGGAGGGGACCAUGACCCUGCGUGGUGUGUCUGCGGGGUAUAGGCCUGUGCUGGCCUCCACAAAUGCUGCCGCAGCACCACACCUGCUGCAGUAACAGCCACGUACAUCGGAAAACCGCUCCAUGAGCCGAGUCCCAGAUGACAAGGAGGGCUGUGAGGGACAUCUUGGGAGACCUGUGGCCCUCUCUGGAAAGAUCUAUGUCCAGCCAGGGGUGGUAGCUCAUGCCCUGUAAUCGCACCACUUUGGGAGGUCAAGGCAGGGGGAUCGCUUGAGCUCAGAAGUUUGAGACUAGCCUGGGCAAUACAGCAACACCCUGUCUCUACAAAAAACUUAAAAAAUUAGCCAGUGUGGUGGCGUGUGCCUGUAGUCCCAGCUACCUGGGAGGCUGAGGUGGGAGGAUUGUUUGAGCCCAGGAGAUUGAGACUACAGUGAGCUAUGAUGGCGCCACUGCCUUCUAGCCUGGGCAACAGAACGAGACCCUGUCUCAACAGCAACAACAACAACAACAACAACUUAUGUCCAGAAACGAAUGUCCUUGCUCCAUAUCCUCUCCACCUGGUAAGCGGUGUCUAGCCCACACUUCCUGCAUCCUCUGCAUGCCAUAAUGAGAAGGUGGGUGGUUUAUGGCAGAGGCGAGAAAAUCCAGCAGAUCCCGUCAGCUUGGAGGGCCCACUGUCAGCCCCUCUACCUGCUAAGGCCGGAGGGGUGGGUCCAUGGUUCUUUAGACCACAGACUAAAACAGCAAAACAUGCUGGGUGGCUCCAGGUGUACCCCUUACCGCCUCACUCACUUUGGCCAUGGGCAUCUGAGCUGUUGUUUGUUUGUUUGUUUGUUUGUUUUAAAGAGCCAGGGACCAAGAAAGGGUUAAGCAGCUCCCAAUCUGACUUAUGAGACUAGAAGCUCUUGCUCCCAGCUGGCCACCCACAGGCCUCUGUCAUCUGGCCAGUGCUGGGCUGGGAGGUCUCUGGGUCUCCGCACCCAUCUGGCCACACUGUCCUAGCACCAUCGUCUCUCAUCUGGCAGCUGGGACGGCCUCUCACUGGUCUUGCCCUAUCUCUGCAGCCUACAGGAGCUCUCUGUCCUCAGUUGCUGCUUACCCCCUAAAAUCCUUUUAAGUGGUUUUGUACUGCUCCCAUUAAUAGGAUGAACCAAAGCUUCUUAACUGGCCCCGUGGUCUGCCCGAUCUGACCCCCUUCCUGCCCACCCAGGCCACGCUGUUUCUCCUCAAAUGUGCCAGUCUCUGUGGGCCCUGCAGGCCUUGGCGCAUCCUCUCGGCUUGAAAUACUUUCCUAUCUCCCUGCCCAUUCACCCUCCCCAGCCUGUGGCUGUAGACCAACAGAUCUUGGUCCUCUUUUUCAUUGGGCCCGCUUGGAAACUGGUUGUCCCCCAAUGUCUGGGGCAGGCAAUAGCAGUCAAUCACAGGUGGCAUGUGAAAUGAAACACAUCUGCCACUCAUGCACAAGUUCAGAUCCCAAGGUCCCUCUCAGCUCUCCCCUUCUGCUUUCUAAGACUGUUCCAUCCUCAAUUUGCCCUUCUGUAGAACGGGGAGAAAGAGAUCCCUGCCUCCUCUGUCAUCCCAAGGGGCUGAGAGUGUGAAUCAAGGUGGCUGUUUUCACCUGGGUAUCUGUUUCCUUGGUGUCUGUCCUGCCUCUUGCCCCAGAAUAUCCCCUUCUACCCGUGGACUUCCACUCUGACCCCUGAUAGCUCCCAAUAGCUAGCACAGUGCACCCAACUGCAGGUAUUAGGAUGUUUAAAGUGUCCAUGUAGAUGUGGCCUCAUGUGCUGCACCCUCUUGGCUCUGAGUUACAUGUCCUGCUGCAAGUUUCUGAAGCAGGAAACGGUAUGUGGCAGUGGAGGCCAUUGGGCUUGCUGGGCGUGGGGCUUUCCUAGGUGACAUACAGAGGCACCACUCCUGCUUGUCUCGGGAAGGGGGUGUUCUUUACAGGGGGGUUCAUCUCAGAAUGAUUCAGUGGCAGUUGGUAGUUGCAUGGGUCAAAAAUGAGCACAGGACCCAGAGUUGGGAAACCUGGGUAUUUCCGAGUUCCAGUUCUGUACCUGGAAUCCGACCUGGGAGUAUCUGGACACACCUUGCCCCUCUCUGCCCUGAGUGUCCCUGUCUACACAGCGAAAGGGAACAUAAGUCAGUAAUCAGUGUCUUCUGGUUCUCCAACUGUUGGAGAAAAAAUCAGAAAUCCAGAUUUCGGUGUGAAAUUUCCAGACUUUUGGAAACAACAGGUGCUGGGGAGGAUGUGGAGAAAUAGGAACACUUUUACACUGUUGGUGGGACUGUAAACUAGUUCAAACACUGUGGCAGAGAGUGUGGUGAUUCCUCAAGGAUCUAGAGCUAGAAAUACCAUUUGACCCAGCCAUCCCAUUACUGGGUAUAUACCCAAAGGAUGACAAAUCAUGCU
rnacentral:lncRNA from 1 species